rnacentral:rRNA from 1 species
UACGUAGGGAGCAAGCGUUGUCCGGAAUCAUUGGGCGUAAAGAGCGCGUAGGCGGCCGUGUAAGUCCGCUCUGAAAGUCGGAGGCUCAACCUCCGAAAGCGGGUGGAUACUGCACGGCUAGAGUCCGGAAGAGGCGAGUGGAAUUCCUGGUGUAGCGGUGGAAUGCGCAGAUAUCAGGAGGAACACCAACGGCGAAGGCAGCUCGCUGGGACGGUACUGACGCAGAGGCGCGAAAGCGUGGGGAGCAAACAGG